CGAACCAGUCACUAACAAGAGAUCGUGGAGGUUACGUCGCCUAACCUCAAAAAAACUCUAUUCCCCCUUUAUUUUUUAUUUACUCAGUUCCUGUUCGGACAUAAAGACCGUCGAUACACACGCGGGGCCCCCAUCCUAAAACAAACGAACCAGAAGAAAUACAAACUAUAAACGCACGCGUCGAGUCGUUUUCUUUCCUUUCGCGGGGCCCAUUUUCUUUUUUUUGUUCGCGCUUAGUGUUAGUAUUAUUUAAGUUCGAAGACAAAAGGAGCCGGAGCAGCACCAUCAGAAGCAACAGAGUAACAAAACGGCUAUUCGUAAGGUCGAAACUGGUUCUUACUGAAAAGCAAUGAGUUGUGCGGUGAACUAAGGACCAGCCAAAGGUGGUCGCAUUUGAUGGCUGUCGUGGGACCCAGUCGCCACUCUCGGGUGUCCAUGUCUGUGUCUAUGUCCUUAAUGCAGGGUGCCGCGAGCACUACGGCGACCGGGCAACAGGGCGGAUUGCACGGGGCCCAACCGUAUUAUCAUCCGCAACAUGCCGCGGCACCGGCUCAUACACAGGAACAAGUACAACCGGAUCGACCCAUUGGUUAUGGAGCCUUUGGAGUUGUAUGGGCUGUGACAGACCCGAGAGAUGGACGAAGGGUCGCUUUGAAAAAACUGCCGAACGUGUUCCAGUCGUUGGUAUCUUCAAAACGGGUGUUUAGGGAAUUGAAGAUGCUCUGUUUCUUCAAACACGAAAACGUAUUAUCAGCGCUCGAUAUCCUCCAACCGCCACAUUUAGACUUCUUCCAAGAAAUAUAUGUAAUUACAGAACUUCUCCAAAGUGACUUACACAAAAUUAUAGUUUCCCACCAACCGCUAUCGUCGGAUCACAUAAAAGUUUUCCUGUAUCAAAUACUUAGAGGACUGAAAUACCUACAUUCUGCGAGAAUAUUACAUCGUGAUAUAAAACCAGGCAACUUACUUGUAAAUAGUAAUUGCGUUCUUAAGAUCUGUGAUUUCGGUUUAGCGCGCGUAGAAGAACCCGAUUCCAGUAAACAUAUGACGCAAGAAGUGGUGACACAGUACUACAGGGCACCGGAAAUUCUUAUGGGAGCCAGACAUUACACGGCGGCGGUGGACGUUUGGUCGGUGGGUUGCAUCUUUGGCGAAUUACUCGGUCGGAGAAUAUUGUUCCAAGCUCAAAACCCGGUGCAACAAUUAGAACUUAUAACAGAAUUGCUCGGAACACCCACCAUUGACGAUAUGAAAUACGCCUGCGAAGGAGCGAAAACACAUAUGCUCAGAAGAGCACCUAAACCUCCAUCGUUAACUGCUCUUUAUACAUUAUCCUCACAAGCUACCCACGAAGUUGUGCAUUUAUUGUGUCAGAUGUUAGUUUUUGAUCCAGAUAAACGUAUAUCUGUAGUAGAUGCUUUAGCUCAUCCAUAUUUAGACGAAGGCAGAUUGAGAUAUCAUUCAUGUAUGUGCAAAUGUUGUUAUACGACAACGACGGGAAUGAGACAGUAUACAACGGAAUUUGAAACGACGGCACCACAGCCUUUUGACGAUAGCUGGGAACGAAAAUUGACCUCCGUCCAUCAGGUCAAAGAGGAAAUGCACAAGUUUAUAGCGGAACAGCUGAAUACGAGUAGAGUGCCGUUGUGCAUCAACCCACAGAGUGCUGCGUUCAAGAGUUUCGCCAGGUAAGACGGCAGCCGACAUCCAGCGAGAGCGCAGCGCCAUUGCAUAGGUGACCUGACCGCACACUGUCCAUUUGGUAUAAUUAAACGACUCCCACAAUUUGUUAAAAACGGACCCUGUCUUACUACUACCAUCGUUCGACGGUGGCUCAUCCUUCAGAGUUGCCACCAUCACCGCAUCAAUGGGACUGACCGUGGGCGGGACGUAGGUAACGUCGUUCCUCGCAAUCUAGCGUCAAAAGGGCGUCUCGCCAACAUAACCAUCAACAGCAACAGCGUCAGCAUCAUCAUCGUAUGGCGUCGACGCUGCAGCAACAACGGUCGCCGACCUAGGAAGAAAAUACAAGCAACCGGUACACCAAAAAUACAAAUUCAGGGAUUCUUUGCAAUGCAAAAACGGACAAUCUGCGCUCGUUCGCCGUCGCGUUCCUCCUCCUUUAACUAUAGACAUUCUACCUGCCUCCUCUUCUUGUGUGUUUUCUGUUUUUUAUCAACAUGCGACAUAACUACAAUGUGUAUAUUAGCCGAUAUAAGAAUUUCGAUAUAAGACGUGUGAUUUUAGACGGUUAAGGAUUUAAUGAAAAUGAUGCAAACAAAAAGAAAUAUCGACAAUGACUUUCUUAUUACGCGUAACGUGGUAAGGUUUAUUUAGUUUAAGUUAUUGAGGAUAAUGAAAAAAUGAAAUGGGAUGAGAAUAAGGAAAAAUGAAAGGGGAUUUAGAAUCAUAUAUCGUCGUAGAUCUGCUAAAAAAAGUAAAUGUAUUGAUGGAAAUGGAAAUAUGGAUUGAGAAGUUAAUUAAGAAAGAAGUUAAGAAGUGAAAUUAAAAAGUCGAGAUGAGGGAGAAAAUCGACAAACAAACCAACCUCCUCUUUGUGUACAGUUUUUUAUUGAACACUGCCUUUUCGUUUAGCGGUUAGUUAAAGAAAAAAAAAACUAAACAAAAGUGGAUAUAAAGUUAGCGUACAUAUGUAAGUAGAUAUGUAUAUGAGUUGAUAAGACUGGGAGAAAAUUUUUCAUUUAUUCUAACUUUCGAAUUGUCUAGGAAUCUUUCAAAAACUGUAUUUACACUUCAACUAGCCAAUUUUUUUGCCUUUUUUCUACAACACUUUACUAUUUAAUCACUUUAUCUUCUCACAUAGCUCGUAAAGAUAAUAAAUAAUUAAUAAUAAUCUAUCAAAGUGGGACCAUACUAAAAAACUCUCUUUAUAUUUCUUUUAUAUAUAUAUACAUAUAUUCUGUUUGUAGCGAAUCACCGAUUUCUAAAAAAUAAUAUGUAAAAUAAGAUUGAAAGAUUCUAAGUUUCGACAAUUCCAAAGUUUCCACAACGUAACGUUAAUGGUAUUUCUUGAUUAAUACGAAAAAAAUUGUAAAAAAAAAAAGAAAACCGUAAGUGUACGUGUACAGAGAUGCUAAAACAGGUUUAGAAAAAAACCUCAUGAUUAAAAUAAAAAAUUUAACGAUUAUAAAAAUUUAGUGUACUCGAUGUCACAUUUAGUUAGGCAUACGCAGUGUGGUGAUACGAAUAAGAAUUGAAAAAAGGAUGUGAAGUGCGUUUCUAAAACACAAAAACAAAAAAAAAAUUAUUUGGAACAAUUUUUAGAAACCACUAAAUCUAAAAAUGAAUACGAAAAAAACCAUCCCGUUUAGCAUAAAUUUGGAUUUAGAAAUUUUUAGAUAAAACCAAAAAUUAAAAAAAAAAAA
rnacentral:misc_RNA from 1 species